rnacentral:rRNA from 1 species
GACAGAGGAUGCAAGCGUUAUCCGGAAUGAUUGGGCGUAAAGCGUCUGUAGGUGGCUUUUCAAGUCCGCUGUCAAAUCCCAGGGCUCAACCCUGGACAGGCGGUGGAGACUAGCAAGCUGGAGUACGGUAGGGGCAGAGGGAAUUUCCGGUGGAGCGGUGAAAUGCAUUGAGGUCGGAAAGAACACCAACGGCGAAAGCGCUCUGCUGGGCCGACACUGACACUGAGAGACGAAAGCUAGGGGAGCAAAUGGG